ACUCCUACGGGAGGCAGCAGUGGGGAAUAUUGCACAAUGGGCGCAAGCCUGAUGCAGCCAUGCCGCGUGUGUGAAGAAGGCCUUCGGGUUGUAAAGCACUUUCAGUCGUGAGGAAGGUAGUGUAGUUAAUAGCUGCAUUAUUUGACGUUAGCGACAGAAGAAGCACCGGCUAACUCCGUGCCAGCAGCCGCGGUAAUACGGAGGGUGCGAGCGUUAAUCGGAAUUACUGGGCGUAAAGCGCAUGCAGGUGGUUUGUUAAGUCAGAUGUGAAAGCCCGGGGCUCAACCUCGGAAUUGCAUUUGAAACUGGCAGACUAGAGUACUGUAGAGGGGGGUAGAAUUUCAGGUGUAGCGGUGAAAUGCGUAGAGAUCUGAAGG
rnacentral:rRNA from 1 species